rnacentral:rRNA from 1 species
GACGUAGGGAGCGAGCGUUGUCCGGAAUUACUGGGCGUAAAGAGCUCGUAGGCGGGAGCGCGCGUCUGGGAGGAAAUCUCACGGCUCAACUGUGAGGCUUUCCCAGAUACGGCGCUUCUUGAGGGCAGGAGGGGAAACUGGAAUUCCCGGUGUAGCGGUGAAAUGCGCAGAUAUCGGGAGGAACACCGGUGGCGAAGGCGGUUCUCUGGGCCUUACCUGACGCUGAGGAGCGAAAGCGUGGGGAGCGAACAGG